UCUGUUUGGAGCAAGUUGAAGAAUAAAUAGAAAAUAGGUGAAGCAAAUGCUUUCAAAGACCUUCCAAAGCUCUUGGCCUCCCAUUUGCUUUGCCAAGGAGAGCGACUCUAUAAAUGCAGGGGGUAGAAGAACAUUGGAAAAUAAAAGGUACCUCAUCUUCAAAGGAAUGACGAUAACAGACUUCUGGACAGGAUGAAACUUCUGCAGAGUCUACUCUAGUACCUGAGCUACAACACGUGUCCAGUAAUAGUCAUGCCAUAAUUACAACAUUAAUCUUAAAAACUUUGCUAUAGAUGCACAAAUUUUGUUUGAAAUUUGCCACUAAAAUGUACAAUUUGG